rnacentral:rRNA from 1 species
AACGAACGCUGGCGGCAGGCCUCAAACAUGCAAGUCUAGGGGGUGUAGCGAUACAUCACCGGCGGACGGGUGCGUAACGCGUGGGAAUAUACCUAUCGAUUCGGAACAACUGAGGGAAACUUCAGCUAAUACCGAAUACGUCCUAACGGAGAAAGAUUUAUCGUCGAUAGAUUAGCCCGCGUUCGAUUAGCUAGUUGGUGGGGUAACGGCCCACCAAGGCGACGAUCGAUAGCUGUUCUGAGAGGAAGAUCAGCCACACUGGGACUGAGACACGGCCCAGACUCCUACGGGAGGCAGCAGUGGGGAAUAUUGGACAAUGGGCGAAAGCCUGAUCCAGUAAUGCCGCGUGAGUGAAGAAGGCC